UACCUUUCUUUGGUUUAUGAGGCAAAUCCUUGAGACGAAAGCAUUUUAGUGAAGAUCCAAAACGAUACUUUCCAACAUGAGUAACAGCAUUUUCUGCAUCACAACGUUUCUGGAAAACAACUCUGACGCCGUUAGUCUUCGCUAAGAGUUCGGUCUUUGAUUCAAUUAAGGGCCCAAAACAGCAUAAAAGCUUGUUGAGAAUAGUUGUUGAAGGAACAGAAUCUUUGUUUGUAUGUUUAAGAGUUAGCGCAGUAGGAGAACACUCCAAAGCAUUAUGCAUUAAACCUAAAUUUGAACUAUUUUCAGAAGAUGGUGAAAGCUCC
rnacentral:lncRNA from 1 species